CUUUGCUUUUGAUCUAGUGAAGUAAGGAUGACUAGCCAAAGUACUACAAACCAACCACUUUUAUCAGAAAGAACAUGCUCAUCAAAGACAAACCCUGUUAGGAUUAGGUCAGGCAAAAAGCAUGGAAAUCACAUUACAUACAUCCUAGAUUCAUGCGCAUUUAUACCAGCUUUUGAGGGUAAUGAGGCCAUUUUAACAUCAUCCUGAUCUUUCUCCUACACUUAUUUGCUUCUUC
rnacentral:lncRNA from 1 species